rnacentral:rRNA from 1 species
ACCAGACUCCUACGGGAGGCAGCAGUGGGGGAUAUUGCACAAUGGGGGGAACCCUGAUGCAGCGACGCCGCGUGGGUGAAGAAGCGCCUCGGCGCGUAAAGCCCUGUCAGCAGGGAAGAAAAUGACGGUACCUGAAGAAGAAGCCCCGGCUAACUACGUGCCAGCAGCCGCGGUAAUACGUAGGGGGCAAGCGUUAUCCGGAUUUACUGGGUGUAAAGGGGGCGCAGACGGCGAUGCAAGCCAGGAGUGAAAGCCCGGGGCCCAACCCCGGGACUGCUCUUGGAACUGCGUGGCUGGAGUGCAGGAGGGGCAGGCGGAAUUCCUGGUGUAGCGGUGAAAUGCGUAGAUAUCAGGAGGAACACCGGUGGCGAAGGCGGCCUGCUGGACUGCAACUGACGUUGAGGCCCGAAAGCGUGGGGAGCAAACAGGAUUAGAUACCCGAGUAAA